UACGUAGGGGGCAAGCGUUGUCCGGAAUCAUUGGGCGUAAAGAGCGCGUAGGCGGUCCGGUAAGUCGGUUGUGAAAACUGGGGGCUCAACCCUCAGAGGCCGACCGAUACUGUCGGGCUAGAGUCCGGAAGAGGCGAGUGGAAUUCCUGGUGUAGCGGUGAAAUGCGUAGAUAUCGGGAGGAACGCCAGUGGCGAAGGCGACUACCUGGCCUGUUCUUGACGCUGAGGCGCGAAAGCGUGGGGAGCGAACAGG
rnacentral:rRNA from 1 species